rnacentral:misc_RNA from 1 species
UGAUUGGUUAGUUGGAGAAAAGCUAGAUCGAUCUCGCUACGAAAAAUGAAACGAACUUUCUGUUCAACCGAAUAAUUUAGAAGCGAUUCAAGACGGACAGAUUACGUGACUCAUGCUGUACGAUAGACAUUCUUUGCAACGUCAAUUCUGUACAUCGUACUAACCGAUCCUCUGCUUCCUCGUCUCGAGGCCACCCUUUCCUCCGAUUUCGCCCGGACGUCCGAUCUACCAGCGCUGCUGCGUCGGUGCCUUCUGUCUCCUCGAUCCUCCGAUCGAUACCUUUUGUCGAACUUCUUGUACAGCCGAUGGCCGGGUACGUGUUUCGGUGUGGAGGACCUGUGUCCUUCCGGCGAGUCCGCGAAACCUGCCGGCGGUCGAACGAUCUCUUCCGAGACCUCGAGGUGGAGCAACACGACGGCACGCACGAUAGAGAAAAGAGGUAGAUAGACCGACAGAUAGAGAGACAGAUCGAUUCGAGUUUUUUUUUUUUUUUUUUUUUUUUGGUAGUUUGCUUGAGGUUAAUUUUUAAUCAAACUAAGUCGAAUUUAAGUUAAAGCUGACAUUUCAGCGAUUUGCGACUCUCUGACCUGUUAACUCGGAGUGCGAAAAUCAAAGAUUCUUUGUCUUUUAACGCUAGAAUCGCCAAUCCAAAUUCAAAGUUUGGUAAUUUUAGCGUUACUGUAUUAUUAUGUUUCGUGAAAAUUAAAACAGAUCCGCAUAGAGAUAAUUAAUUUUCGUAUAUGUUUAAUUACGCCUGAGAGAGCAAGUUAACAGGUUAAGGGCUGGUUCGUUAGAAACGAGUAGGAAGAAAGGAAG